UUUUGCAUAUCCAAAAAGCGGAGGAAAAGAAACCAACAGGGAUUGCCUCAGUAACGGCGAGUGAAGCGGCAACAGCUCAAAUUUGAAAUCUGGCCUCUCGGGGUCCGAGUUGUAAUUUGUAGAGGAUGUUUUGGGUACCGCCCCGGUUUAAAUUUCUUGGAACAGAAUGUCAAAGAGGGUGAGAAUCCCGUCUUGGACCGGCGGUAGGGCCUGUGUAAAACUCCUUCGACGAGUCGAGUUGUUUGGGAAUGCAGCUCAAAAUGGGUGGUAAAUUUCAUCUAAAGCUAAAUAUUGGCCAGAGACCGAUAGCGCACAAGUAGAGUGAUCGAAAGAUGAAAAGAACUUUGAAAAGAGAGUUAAACAGUAUGUGAAAUUGUUGAAAGGGAAGCGCUUGCAACCAGACUUGAGCGCGACGGUUCCCCUAGCCUUUUGGCUAGGCUACUCCGUCGUGUCCAGGCCAACAUCGGUUCUGAGGGUCGGUCAAAGGCCCCGGGAAUGUACCUACCCACGGGUAGACUUAUAGACCGGGGUGUCAUGCGGCCUCUCGGGACCGAGGAACGCGCUUCGGCUCGGAUGUUGGCGUAAUGGUUGUCAGCGACCCGUCUUGAACCCACGGGACCAAAA
rnacentral:rRNA from 1 species